UAAUCAGUAUAAGUAUGUCCCAUGCAAUAUUUGGGACAUACUUAGACUACAA
rfam:Pan troglodytes isolate Yerkes chimp pedigree #C0471 (Clint) chromosome 14, whole genome shotgun sequence.